CAGGAAUGAAAUGGAAUCCAGUCAAACAUGGGCACUGGUUUGUGUAACACAGCUCUGCCACCGUGGGAAUUCAGGUGUUUCUGCAGGUGCCACUGAAGAGGCCGUAGGCGAGGCUGACGGUGACGGUGGAGCCGGUGCGCGAGAACCGAACCUCGCUGCUCACCCACUGCGGCGUCGCCAGCACCACGCAGAUCACCACGAAGGAGCUCACGCAGCUGCCUGUAAAAACAUCACAAAGCCUGGAGCUGCAGCUUGACAGGACACACCUCAUCUGGAGAGAGAAAGGAGAAGAGCACUUUUAAAAGACAAAUCAGACACGUUUGAAAUGUUGCUUGGAUUUCUUGCCAGAAAAUGCCCAGAAUUUCUCAGCUGAGAGCUCCAUCAUGAUGGUUGUGGAUGUCUGAGCUCUGAUGUUGGAGUGGGAUCACAGCUGGAAUAUUGUCCCUCACACAGGUGCAAUGUUGUCACCAGCCCCUCAGAGCUCAAUCCUCUCGCCCCAGCAGGAGCUGGGAAAAAAACAGGCAAAAAAAAUUGGAGUAUUUCCAAGUGGGAGUUAAAAUAAUAAAUGGAAGAUCCCAAAGCCACCACACUGGAAUCAGCACAAAUGUGCAACAUCCUGAUUUAAAGUGAUUAUUGCUGCCAGGACAUCCCGUGGAUGAGAGCUGUGCCCACUCUGGAUUUUUGGAAAAAGGCCUGAAGUGCCAGGAAAGGAGGGAAUGGCUCCAAAUUUCCAGCAAUUUACCGUUUUCAUCCCAGUACAUCAGCAAAAAGACUGAUGCAGCCCGCUCUACCAAGGGCAUCACGUUGG